UACGUAGGUGGCAAGCGUUGUCCGGAUUUACUGGGCGUAAAGAGCGCGCAGGCGGUCGAUUUAGUCGCGUGUGAAAGCCCCCGGCUCAACUGGGGAGGGUCACGCGAUACUGAUCGACUCGAAGGCAGGAGAGGGUAGUGGAAUUCCCGGUGUAGUGGUGAAAUUCGUAGAUAUUAGGAAGAACACCGGUGGCGAAGGCGGCCCACUGGAUCGGUACUGACGCUGAGGUGCGAAAGCGUGGGGAGCAAACAGG
rnacentral:rRNA from 1 species